GAGUGAGCGGCAGGCAUAAAGUGGCUGUUGAACUGGGCGGUGGAUCGGAGUUUACAUCAAAACAUCCGUCUGCAUCUCACAUCAAGCUGAUAUCUUGAGGAAAAAAAAAGUAAACAGAGGUUGAUGUUCAUGGUACAUCAAUUCCACUCAUUUAGCGAUGUCACACAUUGGAGACGAGAAAUUCUACUCUAGCUUUCAGAAGGAGCAGAUAUAUCAACCUCCUAAGUUGAACUAAAGAAAAGUCCAGAAGAUAUCUGAAUUGCUCUGGGUGGAUCAUAGAGACUGAGGCCUCUGCGUUUACUCUUUCUGGAAAGGCCCAUUGUACGUCUAUAUUGGUAUUUACCACUCAGGCAUUUAACUGGACAGCAGAGGACUUUUCCCUGUCCUGGAGGUCCUGCUACUGAGGGCUGUCAGUCAAAUCAUGCCAGUGGAGGGUCACUGAGGAGAUGAUAGUUGCUUCUGGAGUGACUCCAGAGACAAAGGUAUUGGAGAGUUGGCCACAAGGACAGGGGAGGGGUUUCCCAAUGCCUGGUACCGCAAUCAGACACUGAAUGCCUUUGAAGGAAAGGCAGAACCUCUAUGACUCCAAGCGCAGCAAGCAAACAACCAGGACUUGCUUGUUAUAUCAAGCCCAAUGCCUGUCACCAUAGAUUGUGGCUCUUUAAAUGAGUAGGAUGGGAAACCUUCCACACAUCUUCCUGUCACAGCUGAUCUGGGUGGAGGUGGAAAGAUAGCAGGGUCUACCUUCCCAUCUGAUUAACAUUCUUCUCAAACACUCGAUGGGUGAGGAAGCCAGAUUUCAGUCCACAGAUUUCAUUACACAUCCAAAACCAACAGGAAUAUUUGGGUUAAACUUUGUGUGCUACAGUACUGGACUGUUGAUUUCAUGCUCAAGCUCAGAAAAAAUGAGCACCUAAAUACAGUUUGUUUUUGUACUUGUCCAUAUAGCUCUCAAUCCUACUCCAAGCCAAGUAGUCCUGCACAUAUUAAUUAACAGAAAUUGGAAUUAUGUUCCCAUUAUCAACAUUCCAU